CCAGGUUUGAGUGCAAUGGCUUGAUCUCGGCUCACUGCAACCUCCGCCUCCCAGGUUCAAAUGAUUCUCCUGCCUCUGCCUCCCAAGUAGCUGGGGUUAAGGUGCCUGCCACCACACCCGGCUAAUUUUUGUAUUUUUUAGUAGAGAUGGGGUUUCACCAUGUUGGCCAGGCUGGUCUCGAAUUCCUGACCUCAGGUGAUCCGCCCGCCUCAGCCUCCCAAAGUGCUGGGAUUACAGGCAUGAGCCACUGCGCCUGGCCACAUCCUGUUUCUUUAAAACAGAAGGCUGAAAGGUCUAGCCAUCUAUCCAAGAACAAUGGCCAGCCCCUCUGUAGGCAGGCUCUGAGAGAGACGUCGAUGAUGCCAGACUCUCAAUGGGGAGGAUGCGCAUAUGGGAAGGGUGUUGAACUCGUUCUCCCCAAAGUCAACAUCAAGAGAACCGAGGGACUGGUGGAGUCACUUGGAAGUUCUUCAUUCUUUUUUUCUCAAGCUCAGAAAGACCAGCAUACCACUUAGAGGCUUGGUUUGGACAGCUCUCCAAACCCCUGGUCAGAUUGCUCUCUUGCAGCUAAAACACAGGGUUAGCUGAAUUUUCUUCCAGACUUCAUUGCAAACGAUUAUCUUGGCAUAUUAUCUGUAACAUUUCCUUUGGAGAGUUCCUCCAUGUUAGAAAACAAAAAGUUUGCCAUACCCUGUGAAUGACUGAAUUAAGAAGUAAAACCUCAAAUCAGUCAAGAUGCAUGAAGAUUUGAGUGACUUGUGAGCAUGAAUUACAUGACAAAGACCUCAUGAGGAUGCCACGGCUAGGAAAGACGAGACCGUAGGAUAAUGUCGAUCUGGAUGCCUUUGCGACUUGUGAAAUCUGAGAGCCCCACCUUGACGAGUCACCUGUGCAAUCCCUUG
rnacentral:lncRNA from 1 species